UACGUAGGGCGCAAGCGUUUGUCCGGAAUUAUUGGGCGUAAAGGGCUCGUAGGCGGCCAACUAAGUCGGAUGUGAAAUCCCCAGGCUCAACCUGGGAACUGCAUCCGAUACUGGAUGGCUUGAAUUCGGGAGAGGGAUGCAGAAUUCCAGGUGUAGCGGUGAAAUGCGUAGAUAUCUGGAGGAAUACCGGUGGCGAAGGCGGCAUCCUGGACCGACAUUUGACGCUGAGGAGCGAAAGCGUGGGGAGCGAACAGG
rnacentral:rRNA from 1 species